CCCGCCUCUCCCCCCACUCGGCAUACUGCCCCGGCCUCGGUGCCACUCCGAAGGGGACAAUGAGCUGGUGGUUGUGGGGAGAGGAGUGGAGGCUCCAUCCGAGCGUGGCGGAGAGGGGGCCACGCCUGGACCCCCUCAGAGGGCCUGUCCUGUCCAGUGUCACUCUCACCGCGCUAUCCUCCAGCGCUCCCGGACCCGUGCCGUCCUCCGCCAGCAUCACCUUACAUUAUGAAUGAGAUUGCAUUUCAUUUACAGCACUGUGAGUGAGUCCCCCUGUCGUGACAGGGCACCGAGGUCUGGGCAGUAAGACGUUGUGACAGGCGCUGGACACAGAAGCUAAAGCCGUCUCUGAAAAGAAAAAUACAUCUUAAAAGCCAGACACUGAUCGCCGUAAAUGAGCCAGUCCCAAAACGUGACUAGAAAUUUCCUCUCAACUCGUUUAGUCUCCUAUUUAGAAUUGUAAAGAGCUCUGAGACGCACAUCAGAUAUAUUUUAGAAAUAUUGUAUUGAACCACUGUUUACAAGGGCCCUGAAGAAAAUUGCCAAGGGAUGAAGAUCGUGGCCAGUUAAGAUGAAAGGAUGACCUUUGAACUGUCUUAUUCACCAGAAGAUCAAAUGUAUAAGAAAAGAAACCCCUUCACAUGAACAUGAGAAAAUGCAUGGUGGUGACAGAUGAUAAUGUUAAAUCAAAAGUGACCAUUCUUGCAAAGGAAGAGCAACAGGAACAAUGGCCGUGACCUUUGAGUUGUGUCCAUGGGUUACCGCUUGUACUGUUGGCCCGGGGCGACCUCAGCCUUGACCUCUGGGGGAUGACGGCUGAUGUGAAGGACCAUUGGACCUUCUGACCUCCAGGUAGAAGGGGAGAAGCUGAAAAUGUGCCAUGGGGAAUGAGGUGCUGGGAGGGGGAAAAACUGAAAUGUGAUGUGUGUGUGUAUGAUGUGUAUUUGUGUUUGUGUGUUCAGGGGGGUGUUAUUUGAACCUCAGAAUGUUGAACCAAGUUUUGUCUUGCAACAGAGGAAGAGGUGAAGGAUCUAGGCUGUGACGUUACUAUGAAUCCUGGGAGAAACUGUCAAUGUAAACUUUUUGAUGUAUCUUGUGGAGACACGUUUUUUUGUAUUUUUUUUAAAGUGUUUUAAAGGACAAAAUUUCACCCUGAGUAAAUAGGAGACAGAAACACAAUUUGGAUUUCCUCAUGGGUGGCAAAUGUUCUUAUUUAUAUGGAAAGCUUUU
ensembl:lncRNA